GGACAAGAGAAUCACCACUAUAAGGUACAUACUAAGGGCAAUGGUGUCAUUCAGGAAAAUUCUGGAAUGUGGCUUGAGAGUCUGAGUCUGAAAUAAGGAACGGAGUGUUGGCCAGUGGGGGUAAACUUCACCAAGGGGUACGGGAAGAAUAGGGCCAGGCAGGUCAUCAGACAGAUGUUUUUCCUGCUCAUUGCCCCCAAACCAGAUCCUAAGUUAAAAAUAUUGGAAGUAAAAAUUCACACAUACUCCAGAAUAUGCGCACGGGAGCCCGGACUACUUCAGUGUGCUUCACACUGCUGUGAACUUUCAAUGGUAAAACCAUCUACAUAGCCCAUGCUGCAAGGAAGUGUUGACUUUUUAUAUAACUCAUGAGUGAGUUAUAACUCAUGAUUCAGACCAUCCAGGCCUGCAGCUGGUAUGCUUACCCUCUCUGCUGCCCAGCCUUGUCAGAAAGGCUCUUACACAUGGCCAGCCUGGAAAAGAUCAAAGCUUGCAAUGUGGUUUCUACAGAGUGCCUCUGGCUUUUUACAACAUCAUGAAAUAAAAACAAGACCAGGCCAAAGCAAGACCACCUGAAAAAAAAAAAAAAAAAGAAACAGUCCAUUGGACUCUUCUGAUGUGAAGGACAUCUGUAUUCUGAGAAACAGAAUAGAGCCUCCUACUCCACCCACCCCUAUUGUGCUGGCCCUGUGCAACAGACUGAAGGUAACUACAGAGGUACCCAACAAAGCUGGAACAUGGCUGUGGCUGCCCAUGAGCAGACAAGGAAACUGAGGCACAGGGAGCCUGAUGGCCCAAGGCAGAACACCGCAGGAGCCAGGUACCAGCUUCAGAUUUAUCCUAUCAGCUUGAGACAGAGAUAUGGCAUGGCUCCCCCAGACUCCCAGAGCCUUCCUGAUGCCAUCUCUUGCCCUAGCUGUGUCUGCAGACCCAUCCUAGUACCUGCUAAUGGACCAGCAACUGAUCAGUGGACACCUUGACAUGGGAGCAACACGUCAUCGCCUGGGAGAGUUAUUGUGGGUUCAGAUCUUCCUUACCCAACACCGACCCUAAGGCAGAUCAGUCAUGGGAAGGAGGGAGGAUGCAGGGGACAAUCAGAGGCUCCAGUUUUCUUAGGCCCAAUCAACCAAGGCGCAGAUGCCAUCUUGUGGGCCUGGUCCCCUGACCAGACUCUCCACAUUGCUACAUCUGCAAUGGCCCUGAGUGUUGAAUGCCGUGAGCUUUGCUGGCAGACAGUUCUGGAAUGAAGUGGGCUGUGCUGACCCCCCACCCCCAUUCCUCUAAACUCUCGUCUGCAGUCCAACUAGCACCCAGAGAUGGAAAUGUGGUCGUGAACUUGGCCCAGAGAAUCUGGCUUUUGGUCUUGGCCCCUCCUUUGCUCGGAGAAUUCAAUCCUUUGCAAGAAAUCCUUCCACAGACUUCCUGAGCACAUUCCAUGCUGAGGCCUUGUGCUGGAGUGGUGGGCAAGGAGGUAUUCCGUGUUCCUGGGCAUGACUUCACAUUGUGGGAAGAUCUCAGUGCCUACAACUACUGCCCAGGCCCCUCCUCCUACUCCUGCAUCUGCAUGCAGCCCCUGGCCUUCCUUACAGACAGCACUGAAGGGGUUAAACUUGGACAGGCAGGAGCCUCAAGGACCCUCUGUAUAGUGGAGUCAACUGCCAUUCUGCCAGGCAUGUUCCUGCCUACAGGGCCACACAUGUACAAGAGGUACCAGAGAGCAGAUCCCAGGAUUCCAGUGAGGUAUGGGGGCAUCUGAAGCCUAGGGGAAAUGUAGGGCUCUCUCUAUAGACCUGCGCAUGGAAGUAAAGGCUUACUAGAACCUGGAGAAAAUGUGGGUAUGUCCUAGGGCCCAAGGAUGGUAUUACCUGAACAUACAGAAAAGCCUCAGGUUUAUAGGGGACCUGGGACUUGGGAACCUGGCAGAAGAGGUACAAGAGCUGAGAGAAAGGGGAUUGGUCAGGAGUGUGGGUGGACAAUUCUCAGGGUUCCAAUGAGGAUGACACUGAGGCCUUAUGAGGCAGGCUAGCUGCUCCAGGGAAGCAGCAAGGAAGAAACAAGAGCAGAAAAGUAGGCAGGAGAUAACCAAGGACAGCUCCCGGACAUGUGAGAACACGCAGAGCACCGUCUACACACAUUCCUGGAUUCCUGGGAGGCCCAAGGCCUGUUAGUACCCACAGCCUGAGAAGAGCAGGACACUUCCUGGAGGACAGCAAGCACCCCAGAGCUGCAUAUCACUCCCACAGAGGCCACAGUGACCCUGAGCAGCUCACUCACCUUGCUGGUCCUUAGGGGGUCUCUGCUCUGGAAUGAGGGGACACACACCUUCCCCAGAGUCACCAAGAGGACCAAGUGAGGUGAGUCUCUAGUCAGUGACUCUCCAGGGUGCACCCCUGCCUUCUGUGGCGGAUUGCCUCCAUUGUUAUUGUCAUAGAAGGGCUCAGCCCACUGUGGGUGGCACCAUUCCGUGUGCAGAUGGUCCUGGGCUAUGUAGAAAGCUAACCAAGCAUGGGUCUAUGGGCAAACCAGAAGGCAGGCCCAACAGGCAGCAGUCUCCCAUGACUUCUUUUGCUUCAAGUUCCUGUCCUGACUCCCCUCGGUGUUAGAUUGCAACCUGUACACUGAAAUAGCCCCCCUCUCCCCUAAGUUGCUUUGGUCAUGGUGUGUACCAUGGUAACAGAAUGAAACUGGCACGUUCUUCCCAGGGAGGUGACAGAACAGAGGUUGGAAUACAUGGAGGGUUAGUGGGACCCUGUAGGUAUCCAGGCAGAAGGGCAGCACCUGGAAAGGCCCUGAGGUGGGACUGUACUCUCCAGCCGCAUCUCCUGGGUAGGCUGCUGAUGGAACAGGGCACACACCCCUAGUGGCAUCACCCUCUGGAGUCUGGGCAUCUAGACUAGGCACACUCCAUGUUUUAACCUCAGCUGGUCUGCUAGGAAUAGGAAGUCACAUGUCCUCCUAGGAGAGGUCAGCUAGGAUGACACUAUGCAGCAGGGCUGUGGGCAGCUAGGGCGGACAAGGCAGGUGUCCUGAGGCCAGCAGCAGGACUCUCCUCAGGCAGGGCACUGAAUGCACAACAGGGGGAGCUUUGCCUGUCCCCUAGAGCCCAAGGGAAAAGGCUGAGCUUCAGCAACUGUAAGAACAACCAAGCCGCUGUGGGAACCCACUUCCCAGGCUAGCAACAGACCGUCCUCCAGCACAGAACCUACGAUCACUUCGGAAAUAAACAGCACUCAGAGAUCAGAGGCCGCACAGUUACAGUUCAUUACGAUAAAUCCACCAUCAAGGGUGGACGGAGAUAAGCAGGAUUAUGCUGGUCACGGCAAUUAAAAUUUUAAAAAGGAGCGUUUUGAGAGAGAUGUAAUUCUGUGGUCCCUGAAGCCACGCUGGCGCUGCCUGCCAGGGCUUGUGGCUUGGAAGGGCAGCACUGCGGUCAGGGGCUGCAUUUGUUCCUCACCAAGGCUGCUCUGAGCUGUGCUCCUGCCAGGGCCUGCCUGAGACCAGAGCCAAAGUGUGCUCCACCGUAGUCCUGGGAUGCCCAUGCGUGGGAGGCUCUCAGCUGCGCCAACCUUUAUCCUGGAGCCCCGUGGAUCACUACCUCUCUCGUUUGCACCCCUGGUCUGCUCACUGUCCCUCUGCGGCCUUCGCCUUUGUGCUUUACCAGAUGGAAACGGCUUUAGUGUCCAAGUCCCCUGGGGGUGUGACCAAGAAUGGACUUGAAGGCUGGGGUGUGGCUCGAGGGAGAGUGCUGGUCUCCCAUCUGCCCAGAGUUCAUCAGCAACAAAAGAAUAAACCUGGAAGUGUUCUUUGAUCAGCACACUGGCCUUGACUGUGCAGCCACUCUGGCCCCG
rnacentral:lncRNA from 1 species